AACAUACUGAACUAUGACGUUUUUGUGACUUUUUGGACGACAUAUAAACUUCAUCAGGUAGUUAAACAAAAAACAUCAAAGAACAGUCUUUCAACGUUAUUUAUUCUGUGCAUCUUUUCAUUUUUCUUCAGUAAAGUCCUCAGACAUACAGCUCAGCACACCAAAAGCUAAAGACCUCAUAAAACAAACAAAAACUCAGAAUUCCUGCAUCUGAACCACCACUGACAUCACAGUAGCUUCAGUUUUGUGUAAUUUCACUCACACAUUCUAGAGUUUUUCCUGUUUGGGGUUGAAUCCGCAGUUGAUGUAUUUGGAUUUUCUAUCUUGUUUUCUUUUAUCUGAGCCACAUCAUCAUUCCUGAGUUGUAAUUUCUGUUUCAUGAGGACUUUUUUUUGCUUCUGUCUUCACAGAUUCUAUGCACAUUUGGACUAUAUAGAUGUCAGCAUUUCAUUUAAAGCAGCAUCUGCAGUGAUUCACAAGGUAAUCCACAGCUGUCAUUGCAUUGGUGGUGGACCUGCCAAACAACAAUGCCUGCUGUGAUGACAAUGCCACCAUCCCUCCUCUCUCCUGCAGGAAACCCUAACGCACUUCAGCUGCUGCUUCCUUCUCCACUGCUACACACCCUAAAAUAAAAAACAAACACAUGACUACAAUUGUUUCUCUGCUGUAUAAAUGCUUUUAAAUACAACAGCUGGACAUGGCUUCUAGCUCUUUAAGAUGAUUCACCACAAAACAGAAUAACAUGACUGUCUGACUCAAGCUACAGAAAACUUUCUACAGUAGCUUUUAAACCCACAAUUUGCUUACAAGGAUACAAUAAUCAUAAAGCAAUUUCUGAUGCUGCUGUUAGAGGAUGUGAGCUGGAUUAGAAAAGAAAAUGUGUAAGUGCUGCCCUCGUGUGGCUUCCAGCUGAAACCAACCUGCACUUCAAAAGAAUUUUCCUGCAUUGAAACAAAUACGAUGCAUUUCAUUUUGCACACAGGAUCCUAUUAUUUGCAGAACUUCUGUAAUAAGUUUACAAUCCUAAAAUGACCCAGGUCUUAUUUGGAGGACAAUUUUCGGUCAGUUAAAAGUUCAACUAUUAAAGCCCAACUUGCCUUAAACCGACUCCAACAUUUCAGAAAUCUCAUGUCUUCAGUGAUGGCGUGAAAAGUGUAUUUUUGUCUAAUAUGUCAGGUUUAAAAGGUUAAAUCUUCCUGGUUUCCUUCUAAUGGAACAACACAUGAAUGAACAUGAUUACACAUCUAAAUUAACUUGUAUUUUCAGAUCUUGGAUUUCUUUGUCUGCAUCCAAAAAUGCCUACUUUUUAGACCUAAAAUAUUUUAUUUGACUGUGUUUAGGUUAAAAAUAAAAUAUAAUCAAAGAUUAGUCAUUGUUUCACCACUAUAUACACAGUCAAGGAAAACUAUCCAAAUUUGCAACGAUUUCUCAGAAUAAACUGAAAUUAAGUCACAGCAAUCUCUCUUGUAAAACACUGGUUUUAAUUUUAAAGAAAUAUGAAAAAUGUACUUAUUCAAAAGCACUUGAGUAAUUUAGAGAUUAAGGUUAAGCAAAUACAAUAUUAGAUGUAAUAUAGUUAACACCAACUGCACUGUAAACUUUUAAAGCUGUAUGAAGGACAGAUAAACCACAGAAACAAAGUUUUGGUUUUUUGGUUUGCUAAACAGAGCAUGGGGAGAACUAAAACUUUGAUUACAACUCUGAUAUAGAACUUUAAUUUACACUUGAUACAUUUUUGUGACUCCAUGUCUGCUAAUCAACAGAUGAUCCAUCAAUGACUCACAAAAUCCUCAACAACCCAUCUCAUUCACUUCUUCUGUGACGUGAUUUGUUCUAAACAACUUGUCUGUCACUGAAAGCAUUUUUAGUUUACCAAAGUAAUAACAUAUUUUAAGAAAUCUUUGUCCUGUAAAAUGUACACUUUUUAAUGGCUAAAAAUACUGUAUCAAAUGUACAUAAUACUGCUGUGUAUAAUGCUUGACUGUUAAUGAUGUAAUGUCCCAUCUAAAAGUUUAAAUUUAACUGAGAAUAAUGCAAUUUCACAUUUCAUUUACAGUGUUUUUUAGGUUUUAGCAAUGCUGUUGCUAAUAGUUGAAUUCGACCUAUCAGUGGUGUCACGCAGCAUCGGGAUACUUUUAGAAUAGUUCUGUUUUUGUACUUAUUUCAGAGCAAACAUGCCCCCAGAAAUGGUUAAAAUUGAAGGCUUUAAAGCCUCUAUCAGGAUUUACAUCUAUUUUAUGCCAGUUUUCCUGUCUUUGCUGAUGCUGCACUGAAUGGUUCACAGUUUAAGGUUCACUUUGUCUAAAAUCACAUCUUAGAUUACAUGAAUGUCUGCUUGUUCAAUAACCUGCCAGAAAACAGACCUGUUCAAGGAACACUUUUCACUUUACUCCUGUACUUUUCUUCCCUGACCACAUGUGUUUUGACACAUUCUGCUCAGUAAACAGAUAGACCAGAAUUUAACAUGUCAUAUUGUUCCUUUAACGUCAGGAGGGAAAAAAGUAACUGCAACUGUGCAAUAGACUAAAGCAAUGUAGGCAAACAUCACUCACCUUGUGAAUCACUGCAGAUGCUGCUUUAAAUGAAAUGCUGACAUCUAUAUAGUCCAAAUGUGCAUAGAAUCUGUGAAGACAGAAGCAAAAAAACGUCCUCAUGAAACAGAAAUUACAACUCAGGAAUGAUGAUGUGGCUCAGAUAAAAGAAAACAAGAUAGAAAAUCCAAAUACAUCAAUUUCAUGUCCAAUAUUUCAUUAUCAUGUGUGGCAUUUCUUCUAACUUUUCUAUUUUACAGCAUUGUUGGAGCUGUGUUUAAUUUUCAGUCAUGUCUCAUUCUUGUAGCUUAUUGCUUUUCUACUAGAUAUUUUGUUUUCUGAGCCAUGUCUGCAAAAUUAAUAAUGUUUUAUCUUAUCCUAACUUGUGAAAAAUACAGACAGUAUGUCGGUCUAUAAUUUUAUUUAGCAGAUGCUUUUAUCCAAGACACAUCUGAGAGUAGAUCCAACACAAGCAAUGAUCUAAUCAGGAGAAAAAUCAACUUCAUGUGUUUUUCAAGGGAGGCUCUGUGCCUCAGUGCUGAUGAGAGGAUGAGCUGCAGCUGCGCUGGAUGAGUUGAAUGAGCUGUGGAGGUCCAGCUCGUUUGUCAUCUCCCGCUUAAAAGGCCGGCAAUGCGACUAUGCCGAUCAUUCGCACUCUUCCUCCGAAGCUGUGCGGAUCAUUCCUCCUGUCCAGUCUCUCCGGAGACCGAGCAGCUCGCAUUUUCCCCAGCCGUCCUCCGACCAGAUGGAGUCCUCCUUCUUCUUUUUCGUGUGGCACAGUGAGCGAGAGACAGGAAACGGGGGAAAAGAGUUGGACAAGACAUGCAGCAGAGUGCCGCGACCGGGUAUCGAACCCGAGCCGCUGCGUCGGUGAACAACUCCCGUACACGGGUCGUACGCUUAACGCAUUGAGCUAUACGGGAGCCGGGUAAGAAGCAGUUUUUGAUUUGUCAGCGUAGUUUUUGAAUAAAACAAAAUGUGGAUCGUUAUGAUCAUGCUUCGACUGUCAAACACGUUUGGUAAUUUAGCACAUGGCAUUUCAACCUAAAUAAAUGCCUGAUUGUCUGCGCCUGCCAGAAAAUGUUCCCCCCCCUCUAUAUUCUCAGCU